UACAGAGGUGGCAAGCGCUGUUCGGAAUUACUGGGCGUAAAGGGCGCGUAGGCGGUUCGUUAAGUCCUGUGUGAAAUCCCCCGGCUCAACUGGGGAACUGCACAGGAAACUAGCGGGCUUGAGUUCGGGAGAGGGAAGCGGAAUUCCGGGUGUAGCGGUGAAAUGCGUAGAUAUCCGGAAGAACACCGGUGGCGAAGGCGGUGAGCUGGGCAGUAGCUGACACUGAGGCGCGACAGCGUGGGGAGCAAACAGG
rnacentral:rRNA from 1 species